rnacentral:tRNA from 1 species
UGUGCGCGGACGGCCCGCCGACGCCGGGCACGCUCUCCACGUGCAGGGGCAGGGCAGCGGCCAGCGGCGGUUCGGCCACCGGCGUGCACACC